rnacentral:rRNA from 1 species
GACGAACGCUGGCGGCGUGCUUAACACAUGCAAGUCGAACGGAAAGGCCCUGCUUUUGUGGGUUGCUCGAUUGGCGAACGGGUGAGUAACACGUGAGUAACCUGCCCUUGACUUUGGGAUAACUUCAGGAAACUGGGGCUCAUAUCCGAUAUGAUCUCCUGCUGCAUGGUGGGGGUUGGAAAGUUUCGGCGGUUGGGGAUGUACUCGCGGCUUAUCCGCUUGUUUGUGGGGUAGUGGCUUACCAAGGCUUUGACGGGUAGCCGGCCUGAGAGGGUGACCGGCGACAUUGGGACUGAGAGACGGCACAGACUGCUAAGGGAGGCAGAAGGGGGGAAUAUUGCAGAAUGGGCGGAAGCCUGAUGCAGCAACGCCGCGUGCGGGAUGACGGCCUUAGGGUUGUAAACCGCUGUCGCCUGUGACGAAGAGGGAGUGACGGUAAUGAGUAAAGAAGCAACGGCUAACUACGUG